ACUCAAAUGAAUUGACGGGGGCUUGCACAAGUGGUGGAGCGUGUGGCUUAAUUCGUCGCUAAGCGAAGAACCUUACCAAGGUUAGAAAUCCUACUGCACGCCUAUCGAAAGAUAGGAAGCCUUCGAGGGUGUAGGACAGGUGAUGCAUGGCUGUCGUCAGUUCGUGGUUUGAAUCGUUCCCUUCAGUGGGGUAACGAACGCAACCCUCGUUGCCUGUUAUAUUUGUCAGGCGAGACUGCCCCCUCACGGGGGAGGAAGGUGGGGAUGACGCCAAGUCAGCAUGUCCCUCUGAUAUCUUGGGCUGCACACGCGCUACAAUCGCCGUUACAACGAGGCGCAAUGGGGUAACCCGGAGCAAAUCUUUAAAAGCGGCGUCAGUUCGGAUUGAGGUCUGCAACCCGACCUCAUGAAGCUGGAAUCACUAGUAAUCGCGGGUCAGCCACACCGCGGUGAAUACGUUCUCAAGCCUUGUACACACCGCCCGU
rnacentral:rRNA from 1 species